ACCCAGAGCCGGAAAGUUCGUCAAACUUGGUCAUUUAGAGGAAGUAAAAGUCGUAANAAGGUUNCCGUAGGUGAACCUGCGGAAGGAUCAUUA
rnacentral:rRNA from 1 species